GCAGUCGAGCGGACAGAUGGGAGCUUGCUCCCUGAUGUUAGCGGCGGACGGGUGAGUAACACGUGGGUAACCUGCCUGUAAGACUGGGAUAACUCCGGGAAACCGGGGCUAAUACCGGAUGGUUGUUUGAACCGCAUGGUUCAAACAUAAAAGGUGGCUUCGGCUACCACUUACAGAUGGACCCGCGGCGCAUUAGCUAGUUGGUGAGGUAACGGCUCACCAAGGCAACGAUGCGUAGCCGACCUGAGAGGGUGAUCGGCCACACUGGGACUGAGACACGGCCCAGACUCCUACGGGAGGCAGCAGUAGGGAAUCUUCCGCAAUGGACGAAAGUCUGACGGAGCAACGCCGCGUGAGUGAUGAAGGUUUUCGGAUCGUAAAGCUCUGUUGUUAGGGAAGAACAAGUACCGUUCGAAUAGGGCGGUACCUUGACGGUACCUAACCAGAAAGCCACGGCUAACUACGUGCCAGCAGCCGCGGUAAUACGUAGGUGGCAAGCGUUGUCCGGAAUUAUUGGGCGUAAAGGGCUCGCAGGCGGUUUCUUAAGUCUGAUGUGAAAGCCCCCGGCUCAACCGGGGAGGGUCAUUGGAAACUGGGGAACUUGAGUGCAGAAGAGGAGAGUGGAAUUCCACGUGUAGCGGUGAAAUGCGUAGAGAUGUGGAGGAACACCAGUGGCGAAGGCGACUCUCUGGUCUGUAACUGACGCUGAGGAGCGAAAGCGUGGGGAGCGAACAGGAUUAGAUACCCUGGUAGUCCACGCCGUAAACGAUGAGUGCUAAGUGUUAGGGGGUUUCCGCCCCUUAGUGCUGCAGCUACGCUUAAGCACUCCGCCUGGGGAGUACGGUCGCAAGACUGAAACUCAAAGAAUUGACGGGGCCCGCACCAGCAGUGGAGCAUGUGGUUUUAUUUCGAGAAACGCGAGAACCCUACCAGGUCUUGACAUCCUCUGACAAUCCUAGAGAUAGGACGUCCCCUUCGGGGGGCAGAAUGACAGCUGGUGCAUGGUUGUCGUCAGCUUCUGUUGUGAGAAGAUGGGUUAAGUCCCGCAACGAGGGCAACCCCCGAUUUUUUUUGCCCCCAAUUCUUUGGGGGAUAUUAAGAGGCCGCCGGCGGCCAACCAGCGGGAGGAGGGGGGGAAGACGUAAAAUUCUUAUGCCCCUUAUGACGUGGGCUACACACGUUCUACAAUGGACAGAACAAAGGGCAGCGAAACCGGGAGGUUAAGCCAAUCCCACAAAUCUGUUCUCAGUUCGGAUCGCAGUUUGCAACUCGACUGCGUGAAGCUGGAAUCGCUAGUAAUCGCGGAUCAGCAUGCCGCGGUGAAUACGUUCCCGGGCCUUGUACACACCGCCCGUCACACCACGAGAGUUUGUAACACCCGAAGUCGGUGAGGUAAC
rnacentral:rRNA from 1 species